rnacentral:lncRNA from 1 species
CCUUCUGUAGCUGCAGGGAGAAAUCAGAGGACGCCGCAAAACUUCUUGGCUUGCUCAGAUAUCCUCUUGGGUCCCUGAGCACCCAGGCGCGGAUUUCACAGUUCGGGCUACCCAAGGGGGACCCUUCACUCGACCAGUUUGAAAAACCUACAGAACUCCCUGUGCUGGGAUCUGAAAGCUCUAAGGUUCCAAGAACAGGACGGGGAAUCCCCGGUUCCCUUCAUAGAUUCCCCACAAAGCAAGCUGAUGCCCCAUGCUUUCUCAGUCCAAUUGCCCGAGACCUAUGCCCAAGUCGCGGGGUGUCUCUGCCUGCCCUCCCGAUCAGAGGAUCCAAGCAUUCUGCAUCCCAGCAGCCAGUCCUUCCCGCAGCCCAGAGCCAAAGGCUCGGGUUCCAAGUUCCCGCGACUGGCUGGGAGAAGGGAGCAGGGAAGGCGCCUGGCUAGGAAAGUCUGUGCGGGAGGCGCCCCCGGUCGGGGCAGCUAUCUCUCCAUUUGGCCAACCAAGGGGACCCGCGGCAUCAGUCCCUACCAGCUGGGGCACAGUGCGGCCG